UACAGGGGGUGCAAACGUUGCUCGGAAUUACUGGGCGUAAAGCGUGCGCAGGCGGCUUUGCAAGACAGAUGUGAAAUCCCCGGGCUUAACCUGGGAACUGCAUUUGUGACUGCAUGGCUAGAGUGCGGCAGAGGGGGAUGGAAUUCCGCGUGUAGCAGUGAAAUGCGUAGAUAUGCGGAGGAACACCGAUGGCGAAGGCAAUCCCCUGGGCCUGCACUGACGCUCAUGCACGAAAGCGUGGGGAGCAAACAGG
rnacentral:rRNA from 1 species